rnacentral:rRNA from 1 species
GAUGGACGCUGGCGGCGUGCCUAAUACAUGCAAGUCGAGCGAACAGACGAGGAGCUUGCUCCUCUGACGUUAGCGGCGGACGGGUGAGUAACACGUGGAUAACCUACCUAUAAGACUGGGAUAACUUCGGGAAACCGGAGCUAAUACCGGAUAAUAUAUUGAACCGCAUGGUUCAAUAGUGAAAGACGGUUUUGCUGUCACUUAUAGAUGGAUCCGCGCCGCAUUAGCUAGUUGGUAAGGUAACGGCUUACCAAGGCAACGAUGCGUAGCCGACCUGAGAGGGUGAUCGGCCACACUGGAACUGAGACACGGUCCAGACUCCUACGGGAGGCAGCAGUAGGGAAUCUUCCGCAAUGGGCGAAAGCCUGACGGAGCAACGCCGCGUGAGUGAUGAAGGUCUUCGGAUUGUAAAACUCUGUUAUUAGGGAAGAACAAAUGUGUAAGUAACUAUGCACGUCUUGACGGUACCUAAUCAGAAAGCCACGGCUAACUACGUG